GCCUGGCUGGCUCAAUCAGUGGAGUGCGUGACUCCUAAUCUCAGGGUCGUGAGUUCAAACCCCAUACUGGGCG
rnacentral:tRNA from 1 species